ACGACCUUACUUGAACAGGAUCUGUUCUAUAGGCUCGUACCUCUGUGUCUUUGAGUUCUAAGAAGACAGGAUAUCAAAUCUGGUGGAUGAAUCAUGACCGUGAGAUCAGAGCGUGAUUAACAGAGACCAAUGAUGUAGAUCACUGGCCUCAGUAGAGGAUCGUUCUCAGCCAUUGAAAAGUGGUUGGGGUGAUCCCACGGUUGUCUGACAGAUU